rnacentral:rRNA from 1 species
GUCCUUUUGAGAUAAGUUUAAGGUCUAGCCUGCCCACUGAAUUUUAAAUGGCCGCAGUACCCUAACUGUGCAAAGGUAGCAUAAUAAUUAGUCUUUUAAUUGAAGGCUGGAAUGAACGGCUGGACGAGGUACUUUCUGUUUCAUAUAGAUUUAUGUUAGAAUUUUAUUUUUCAGUAAAAAAGCUGAAAUAGUUUUAAAAGACGAGAAGACCCUAUAAAUCUUUACAUACCUACAAAUUUGUGAAAUAGGAUUCGUUCUUGUAAAUUUAUUAGGGGUGUUUUAUUGGGGUGAUAUUAAAAUUUAAUAAACUUUUAACGUUAAGACCAUUAAUGUAUGAAAUGUUGAUCCGUCUAAGCGAUUAGUAAAUUAAGUUACUUUAGGGAUAACAGCGUAAUUUUUUUGGAGAGUUCAUAUCGAUAAAAAAGAUUGCGACCUCGAUGUUGGAUUAAGGAAUAAGUUUAGGCGUAGCCGUUUAAAUGAUGAGUCUGUUCGACUCUUAAACCCUU